CCGCUGGCCUCGAAGAGCUCCUGCAAAUCCGAAAAAGCCUCUGGCAUGCGCAGGGUUACCGGCCGGGGCUCAGGGGCUGCAGGUUUAUCUGGAGCCCAGCAGAGCGGUUUUCCAAGGGCCAAGCAAGUGUCUGGUCCAGAGCCCCGUGGGAUUUUUGCCAGGGCACAGAACUGCUGCCCCAAGGGUUCUGCGGCAGCAGAUCGGCCUGGAGAGCUGAGUGGGGCUGGCGGGAGGUUUUGCAUGGCUGCAGUGCCCUCUUUCCCCCGUGCCAGGAAGCAGGGUUAGUUUUGGUCUCCAGCUGGAAAAGGCAUCUCCUAAAGUCCAGGCCAAAAGCCGCCUGUUCAUCCCAUUGCUCAUUGUCACCCUCAGCAGCUUCCUCCUCUGCACCUUGGAGCUGGGCUCACCCGAGUCUUCCAAAGUUGCUGCCCUUUGAUCGAUUUUCCGAUAAGCUCUGGGUUUCUGCGGGGUUAGACUGUGCACGCUACGACCCUGCCCGCCCGGGGCUAGGCCCAACGGGCGUAGGCUUGUAAAAUGCUCUGAGUCCCCUGCAGGGAAAGGCUCCCUAUAAAUACUUUUCACUCCCCCCUUCCACCUCUAUUGUUUUUUUUAAAAGAGCCAUAAGCCUGGCAGUCGUGCCCACGGUUUGAUACCGGAUCACAACUGGGAGGGCGAAUCCUACCCAGUGUGCGACUCCCAGAGUAGCUAUUCUGAGCUCUGCAGGGGUUACUGCUGAAAUGCAGCAAAGAUGCAAGUUGCUAUUAAUACUUUGUCUUCUGACACCUGUUGCCAUGCAAGGGCUGUGUCUUUACGCUCGGGGUCUGAGGCCUACCGUGUGCAAACAGCCUUCGUGGCACGGUGUGGGGAUGGGAGGAGCUUAUAGGCACAGUUGUGUCUCCCCAGCACACGCUGGCACCGUGCUGACACCUGCGUCUUCACGGACUGGGCUCCUAAUUCCAUUCUCCUCCUGUGUCUCUUCUGCUCCUCCCGUGACCAACUCAAUGGAUGUUUUUCAAUAAACGCCUCGCAGCUCAAA